AUGAACGCUGGCGGCGUGCCUAAUACCUGCAAGUCGAGCGAACGGACGAGAAGCUUGCUUCUCUGAUGUUAGCGGCGGACGGGUGAGUAACACGUGGAUAACCUACCUAUAAGACUGGGAUAACUUCGGGAAACCGUAGCUAAUACCGGAUAAUAUUUUGAACCGCAUGGUUCAAAAGUGAAAGACGGUCUUGCUGUCACUUAUAGAUGGAUCCGCGCUGCAUUAGCUAGUUGGUAAGGUAACGGCUUACCAAGGCAACGAUGCAUAGCCGACCUGAGAGGGUGAUCGGCCACACUGGAACUGAGACACGGUCCAGACUCCUACGGGAGGCAGCAGUAGGGAAUCUUCCGCAAUGGGCGAAAGCCUGACGGAGCAACGCCGCGUGGGUGAUGAAGGUCUUCGGAUCGUAAAACUCUGUUAUUAGGGAAGAACAUAUGUGUAAGUAACUGUGCACAUCUUGACGGUACCUAAUCAGAAAGCCACGGCUAACUACGUG
rnacentral:rRNA from 1 species